rnacentral:rRNA from 1 species
ACUUUGCAAUGCGGGAAACCGUGACAAGGGAACUCCGAGUGCCCGUAAAAUCGGGCUGUCCAUCAGUUUAAAUAACUGGUGAAGAAAGGGCCGGGCAAGACCGGUGCCAGCCGCCGCGGUAAUACCGGCGGCUCGAGUGGUGGCCACUAUUACUGGGCUUAAAGCGUUCGUAGCUGGUUUGUUAAGUCCCUGGGGAAAUCUUCCGGCUUAACCGGAAGGCGUCUCAGGGAUACUGGCAGACUAGGGACCGGGAGAGGUGAGGGGUACUCCAGGGGUAGGA